rnacentral:rRNA from 1 species
UCGACCUGAGAUCAGAUAAGAUUACCCGCCGAAUUUAAGCAUAUUAAUAAGCGGAGGAAAAGAAAACAACUGUGAUUCCCUUAGUAAUGGCGAAUGAAACGGGAUCAGCCCAUCGCGUAACUGCAGGUCAUCUUGGCCUCGUGGAAUGUCGCGUUUGGGAGAGUCUCAUCGGGAGCUGGACAGCCAGUCAAAGUCCAACUUGACAGUGGCCACUGCCCAUAGAGGGUGAUAGGCCCGUAAGGCGGCUGUCCGUUUCUGCCGACUUUUCCCCAGAGUCGGGUUGCUUGGGAGUGCAGCCCAAAGUGCGAGGUAAACUCCUCGUAAGGCUAAAUAUGACCUCGAGACCGAUAGCAAACAAGUACCGUGAGGGAAGAUUGAAAAGAACUUUGAAGAGAGAGUUCAAUAGUACGUGAAACUGUGUGGUGGUAAACAGAGGGGUUCUCGAAGUUUCUGUGGGGAACUCAACCUUGGUGUUGGGCAGUCAGGGUGUGUCUGAUCAGCAAUGACUGUGCGCUCUGUCCGGCUCGGCUCUCGGGUGCAUUUUCCCCUCAGUUUACGGCAGGAACUGUUUGGUACGGACCGAAGGCUGCGGGUGAAGUUGUCGCUUAUGGUGGCAGCCCUGCAUGUCCUGGCUCUGAACCCGACAGGUACGUGAGAGGACUCGUAUAGCGAGCAAUGCUC